UAGUGGCAGACGGGUGAGUAAUGCAUGGGAAUCUACCGUUCUCUACGGAAUAACUCAGGGAAACUUGUGCUAAUACCGUAUACGCCCUUUUGGGGAAAGAUUUAUCGGAGAAUGAUGAGCCCAUGUUGGAUUAGCUAGUUGGUAGGGUAAAGGCCUACCAAGGCGACGAUCCAUAGCUGGUCUGAGAGGAUGAUCAGCCACACUGGGACUGAGACACGGCCCAGACUCCUACGGGAGGCAGCAGUGGGGAAUAUUGGACAAUGGGCGCAAGCCUGAUCCAGCCAUGCCGCGUGAGUCAUGAAGGCCCUAGGGUUGUAAAGCUCUUUCACCGGUGAAGAUAAUGACGGUAACCGGAGAAGAAGCCCCGGCUAACUUCGUGCCAGCGGCCGCGGUAUUACGAAGGGGGCUAGCGUUGUUCGAAUUUACUGGGCGUAAAGCGCACGUGCCGGACUUUUAAGUAGGGGUGAAAUCCCGGGGCUCAACCCCGGAACUGCCUUGAUACUGGAAGUCUUAAGNAUGGAAGA
rnacentral:rRNA from 1 species